AUAAUUUUAAGUUUAAUUAAACUAUUAACCUUCAAAGUUAAAAUUAUAAUAAAUUUAUUAUAAAUUAUA
rnacentral:tRNA from 1 species